AUGCAGUCGAGCGGUAACAGGUCUAGCUUGCUAGACGCUGACGAGCGGCGGACGGGUGAGUAAUGCAUAGGAAUCUGCCCGAUAGUGGGGGAUAACCUGGGGAAACCCAGGCUAAUACCGCAUACGUCCUACGGGAGAAAGGGGGCUUCGGCUCCCGCUAUCGGAUGAGCCUAUGUCGGAUUAGCUAGUUGGUGAGGUAAUGGCUCACCAAGGCGACGAUCCGUAGCUGGUCUGAGAGGAUGAUCAGCCACAUCGGGACUGAGACACGGCCCGAACUCCUACGGGAGGCAGCAGUGGGGAAUAUUGGACAAUGGGGGCAACCCUGAUCCAGCCAUGCCGCGUGUGUGAAGAAGGCCUUAGGGUUGUAAAGCACUUUCAGCGAGGAAGAACGCCUGGGGGUUAAUACCCCCCUGGAAAGACAUCACUCGCAGAAGAAGCACCGGCUAACUCCGUGCCAGCAGCCGCGGUAAUACGGAGGGUGCAAGCGUUAAUCGGAAUUACUGGGCGUAAAGCGCGCGUAGGUGGCUUGAUAAGCCGGUUGUGAAAGCCCCGGGCUCAACCUGGGAACGGCAUCCGGAACUGUCAGGCUAGAGUGCAGGAGAGGAAGGUAG
rnacentral:rRNA from 1 species